rnacentral:lncRNA from 1 species
CAACAACUUAAAACAAGAUUAAACUUUAUCUUUAAGUAAAUAUCCAGUGGCAUUUUCAUGCAUAAUGCAGGCAAAAUGUAUGAGAAAAAUGGGCUUUCAUCUCGCCCACCCAGCACACCGACCCGUCAGAACUCUCGUCGCUCGGAGGGCGGAGGUGAUCGCGGUGAGCGAUCAGAACGCGGCGAUCGAGGAGAAGGGAGCAGUAUUGGCGGUAGUGCGAGUGUACUACAAAGGAAGGGGUCUGGCAAGGAUAAAACUCGCCUCCUUUCCUCAAAUGGGACCCAGUCUCAGCCCUAAGUGAACUAAUCAGACAAGCUUUUGAGCGGGAGGGGACAAUCCCCGCUCUUGAUUCCCCCCAGACACGACUCCCUCAUAGUCCAUCUGCACAGUACACAACAACAGGUAUACUCAGCCUUGAUUUUCACAUCACUAGCGGAAACCCUGGGAUCCAACUGCAACAAUAGGAGAGUCAGGAGUCUAUCCACAUGGAAGUGUUCUUACAUGCAAAUAAUCGUCUGAUGAAAAAAUUAUGAUAUCACUUAUCCUUCUUAGGAACAAAGGAUUUGAAAAGUGGAAGCAAGAUGUAUCGCUUAAUAUAAACCCCAGCUAUAAAUUAUUUCAUACAGUACAAACAAGGAGAUUGACAUACCGGUGAACAUCCAGUGAUCUAAUGGCAACAAACUAUUUAAGGAGGAACAAACACUAAGUGGGACAGGAAAGAAUGUCUCUAAAACUUCAUCAUCAUCAUCAUAAGCAAUGAUCCAUCAGAAAAUCACUAAGAGCUGUUUGAGGUAGAGAAAAGCAAACAUGUCGGGAAAAAGUGGGAAGUUCUUCAUUCUUAACACCACUUGGAGCACAAAAAAAAAAGGAUUUCUAGAACACUAUGUAAAGAAAAGAAUAGGGAUUUUUUUAGAACGGGAAUCUAUUUUGUAACCCAAGAUGCUACUAUAGUCCUAUGUGACUAUACCUUCAUGAUCUGAGGACAGAUGACGCCUUUAGCGAGAUGUUAAGUGUUGAAGAUAUAGGCUAUGUUAACACUGAUUGUUCAAGCUUGUGCUUUAGAUCUUGAACUCUGUGAUAUGUUGUAGAUCAAAUAAUCAGUCAGUUUCAGAUAUGCAGUGGAGAGCUGUCCACUGGAAGCUACAGUUGGCAAAAUUGGGCGGUUUUAAGUCACUGCAGUUCUGAGAGUACCUCAGAUCUACCCCACUCACUAAGCAGGGCACAGAGGGAUGAGCAGGCAUCUAGAUUUCCUAUGACAUGUUCACACGGAAACCGAACAAGAGGAACAAAAUAGCCAGUCACUCCCUUGUGUCAUACAAAGAGACAGUGGGAGAAAAAAUGUAAAAGCCUCCACUGUUUUCUCAUGUGACUCCUGGUAGAACUUCCAUAAUAAGUGGAAGUCCACAAAAGUCUUUUUUUUGGUUUCUACUUCGAUAUUUAUAUUAUAUUUUAGAGCUGGG